GGGAGAUUCAGUUGCUUGCUGAUGCAUGGAUUACGAUCGUCAUGGAUCAGCAGCUAAGAUUGUACCAUGAGGAAAGCAAGCAAUCCCAAUAUUUGUAGAGUGGCAGCCGGUACUAUUAGGCAGAAGUAUUAGAUGAUCCAGUACUGGUACAUAUUUCGGUUCUGGAAGACAGCAGUAACUCCUCUUCUUGGCUUACAUCAUGAAAUACAGAGAGGACCAUUUCCUUCACCCCUGAAGAACUUGGAAGAGGAUAACUCGGGCUUAGUAUUUUGGUGUCUGGUAUAUCAUUACGAUUUGAGAAGACAAAAUCUUGACUAGGUGGGGAUCCUGUUAUGUAUUCUGGGAAUUCAUUAAUAAAAAAUGAAGAAACUGAACCAAA